GAGAGUUUGAUCCUGGCUCAGGACGAACGCUGGCGGCGCGCCUAACACAUGCAAGUCGAACGAGCGAGAGAGAGCUUGCUUUCUCGAGCGAGUGGCGAACGGGUGAGUAACGCGUGAGGAACCUGCCUCAAAGAGGGGGACAACAGUUGGAAACGACUGCUAAUACCGCAUAAGCCCACGGGUCGGCAUCGACCUGAGGGAAAAGGAGUGAUCCGCUUUGAGAUGGCCUCGCGUCCGAUUAGCUAGUUGGUGAGGUAACGGCCCACCAAGGCGACGAUCGGUAGCCGGACUGAGAGGUUGAACGGCCACAUUGGGACUGAGACACGGCCCAGACUCCUACGGGAGGCAGCAGUGGGGAAUAUUGCACAAUGGGGGAAACCCUGAUGCAGCGACGCCGCGUGGAGGAAGAAGGUCUUCGGAUUGUAAACUCCUGUUGUUGAGGAAGAUAAUGACGGUACUCAACAAGGAAGUGACGGCUAACUACGUGCCAGCAGCCGCGGUAAAACGUAGGUCACAAGCGUUGUCCGGAAUUACUGGGUGUAAAGGGAGCGCAGGCGGGAAGACAAGUUGGAAGUGAAAUCUAUGGGCUUAACCCAUAAACUGCUUUCAAAACUGUUUUUCUUGAGUAGUGCAGAGGUAGGCGGAAUUCCCGGUGUAGCGGUGGAAUGCGUAGAUAUCGGGAGGAACACCAGUGGCGAAGGCGGCCUACUGGGCACCAACUGACGCUGAGGCUCGAAAGUGUGGGUAGCAAACAGGAUUAGAUACCCUGGUAGUCCACACCGUAAACGAUGAUUACUAGGUGUUGGAGGAUUGACCCCUUCAGUGCCGCAGUUAACACAAUAAGUAAUCCACCUGGGGAGUACGACCGCAAGGUUGAAACUCAAAGGAAUUGACGGGGGCCCGCACAAGCAGUGGAGUAUGUGGUUUAAUUCGACGCAACGCGAAGAACCUUACCAAGUCUUGACAUCCUGCGACGAUGCUAGAAAUAGUAUUUUCCUUCGGGACGCAGAGACAGGUGGUGCAUGGUUGUCGUCAGCUCGUGUCGUGAGAUGUUGGGUUAAGUCCCGCAACGAGCGCAACCCUUAUGGUCAGUUACUACGCAAGAGGACUCUGGCCAGACUGCCGUUGACAAAACGGAGGAAG
rnacentral:rRNA from 1 species